AUUGAACGCUGGCGGCAGGCCUAACACAUGCAAGUCGAACGAGCGGCGGACGGGUGAGUAAUGUCUGGGGAACUGCCCGAUAGAGGGGGAUAACUACUGGAAACGGUAGCUAAUACCGCAUACUAUCGGAUGAACCCAUAGGGGAUUAGCUAGUAGGUGGGGUAAAGGCUCACCAAGGCGACGAUCUCUAGCUGGUCUGAGAGGAUGACCAGCCACACUGGGACUGAGACACGGUCCAGACUCCUACGGGAGGCAGCAGUGGGGAAUAUUGCACAAUGGGCGAAAGCCUGAUGCAGCCAUGCCGCGUGUAUGAAGAAGGCCUUAGGGUUGUAAAGUACUUUCAGCGGGGAGGCGUUACCCGCAGAAGAAGCACUGGCUAACUCCGUGCCAGCAGCCGCGGUAAUUC
rnacentral:rRNA from 1 species